AGUUAUCUGAACCUUCGGGGAACGAUAACGGCGUCGASGGCGGACGGGUGAGUAAUGCCUAGGAAAUUGCCCUGAUGUGGGGGAUAACCAUUGGAAACGAUGGCUAAUACCGCAUGAUGCCUACGGSCAAAGAGGGGGACCUUCGGGCCUCUCGCGUCAGGAUAUGCCUAGGUGGGAUUAGCUAGUUGGUGAGGUAAGGGCUCACCAAGGCGACGAUCCCUAGCUGGUCUGAGAGGAUGAUCAGCCACACUGGAACUGAGACACGGUCCAGACUCCUACGGGAGGCAGCAGUGGGGAAUAUUGCACAAUGGGCGCAAGUGAUGCAGCCAUGCCGCGUGUGUGAAGAAGGCCUUCGGGUUGUAAAGCACUUUCAGUCGUGAGGRAGGYGGKGUMGUUAAUAGCUGCAUURYUUGACGKUAGCSACAGAAGAAGCACCGGCUAACUCCGUGCCAGCAGCCGCGGUAAUACGGAGGGUGCGAGCSUUAAUCGGAAUUACUGGGCGUAAAGCGCAUGRGGUGGUUUGUUAAGUCAGAUGUGAAAGCCCGGGGCUCAACCUCGGAAUAGCAUUUGAAAMUGGSAGACUAGAGUACUGUAGAGGGGGGAGAAUUUCAGGUGUAGCGGUGAAAUGCGUAGAGAUCUGAAGGAAUACCGGUGGCGAAGSKGCCCCCUGGACAGAUACUGACACUCAGAUGCGAAAGSYGGGGGAGCAAACAGGAUUAGAUACCCUGGUAGUCCA
rnacentral:rRNA from 1 species